GACGAACGCUGGCGGCGUGCUUAACACAUGCAAGUCGAGCGGUAAGGCCCCUUCGGGGGUACGACGAGCGGCGAACGGGUGAGUAACACGUGGGUGACCUGCCCUCAGCUCUGGGAUAAGCCUGGGAAACUGGGUCUAAUACCGGAUAUGACUCCAUGACGCAUGUCGUGGGGUGGAAAGCCUUGUGCGGCUGGGGAUGGGCCCGCGGCCUAUCAGCUUGUUGGUGGGGUGAUGGCUACCAAGGCGACGACGGGUAGCCGGCCUGAGAGGGCGACCGGCCACACUGGGACUGAGACACGGCCCAGACUCCUACGGGAGGCAGCAGUGGGGAAUCUUGCGCAAUGGGCGAAAGCCUGACGCAGCGACGCCGCGUGAGGGAUGACGGCCUGG
rnacentral:rRNA from 1 species